rnacentral:rRNA from 1 species
GACGGAGGGGGCUAGCGUUGUUCGGAAUUACUGGGCGUAAAGCGCACGUAGGCGGUUUUUCAAGUCAGGCGUGAAAGCCCCGGGCUCAACCCGGGAAUAGCGCUUGAUACUGUUGAACUUGAGACCGGGAGAGGAUAGCGGAAUUCCCAGUGUAGAGGUGAAAUUCGUAGAUAUUGGGAAGAACACCAGUGGCGAAGGCGGCUACCUGGACCGGUACUGACGCUGAGGUGCGAAAGCGUGGGGAGCAAACAGG